rnacentral:rRNA from 1 species
CCUACGGGGGGCAGCAGUAGGGAAUCUUUCACAAUGGGCGCAAGCCUGAUGGAGCCACGCCGCGUGCAGGAUGACUGCCCUCGGGUUGUAAACUGUUUUUAUAAGCGAGAAAUAUGUUGGUAACUUAUGAAUAAGGAUCGGCUAACUACGUGCCAGCAGCCGCGGUCAUACGUAGGAUCCGAGCAUUAUCCGGAGUGACUGGGUGUAAAGCGUUGCGUAGGUGGAAUAAUAAGUAGCUAGUGAAAUCUGGUGGCUCAACCAUUCAGACUAUUAGCUAAACUGUUAAGCUCGAGACCGUUAGUGGUAACUGGAAGUUAAAGUGUAGGAGUGAAAUCCGUAGAAAUUAGGAAGAACGCCAAUAGCGUAAGCAGAUUA